GAUCAUGGCUCAGGAUGAACGCUGGCGGCGUGCCUAACACAUGCAAGUCGAACGAAGCAAUCAGGAGGAAGUUUUCGGAUGGAAUCCUGGUUGACUGAGUGGCGGACGGGUGAGUAACGCGUGGAUAACCUGCCUCACACUGGGGGAUAACAGUUAGAAAUGGCUGCUAAUACCGCAUAAGCGCACAGUACCGCAUGGUACGGUGUUAAAACCCAGGUGGUGUGAGAUGGAUCCGCG
rnacentral:rRNA from 1 species